GCCGGCUCAUGGGUCUGGUUCGUUGCUUCCCAUACAGCCAGUAGGCCUGAACAUGCCUCAAAUUCUCCCUGAAGCAACACAAAACACACAUGAUCAUGCCAGCAAGAGAAGGAAAGGCAAUUGUACCCCACUGCAGCUGCUCACUGCUCCUGCCACAUUCCACAGGGACACCCGGGGAGCCUCAUCCCAGAGGUGUGCAGCUGGAUUCGUCCCAGACCUCACACAUAUGUUAUAAUAUGCCAUCAACAAGAAAUAGUGCCCAGGACGUUGGUAUAAAUGAGCAAAGGAAAGGAUUGGAAGAAGUGCCUGGGGGAAAUUUGGAGGGUGCAGAAGACACCUGAGCCCCAUCCCAACCAGUGCAACUUCUGCAGGUAAGUAAGGAAGGCAAUGUCUGGAAUAUGGUUUCAGUCUCAGCUCCUCUUCCUCCCCACUGGCUUUUUUUUCAAUUGAAGAAUCAAGAAAGAGGUCACAGUGCUGUAUUCAAAGCCCUCCAAGUCAUCGACUGGCUGUUUAUCCAUCAGGAUCCUCAAUGCUCUGACAGAGGAGAUGAGUGAAAGCAGCCACAAUCCUCCUGUUUCCUUCAAAACCUCUACUUGAGACCCUUCCUGAUCAGAAAGAAAAAAGUCUUUGUAAGUAUUCUGAGCCACAACACUCCAUUCAAACAGCUCCUUUCAAAGCUGCAGCAUCUUUUUAUACAGCAAGAGACUUUUAUUCAUUUAGAAGAAACUUCUUUGGCUCCAGAAAACAGUAACAAACACACAUGCCACGGUACUUCCUGAGCAGAAAUGCUGAAGCUGGGGCCAUUUCAGCCCCCCAGCCACCAUUGAGCCUGCAGAACCUGGGGUGCCUGGAGAAGACUGAGGAAGGCCAGGAAAAGCCAGUUCAGUGCAGGACAGCUACAACACCUCCUCCUAUCCAGCGUGGGCAUCCUGCCCUGCACUUCAUGAUAUUAGAAUAAUCAAAAAUCUACCUAGAUACGCUCUUACAGAGUUUGCUCAUUUACUCCAGUUUGCUGCCUCAUUCCCUUCCCAGCCACCCAUUCUUCCUGCCCAGGGUCCUCGGAGCCUUGCAUAAGUGAAUGGCUACAAAAUAUUCUUAGGCAAUCCAGUAUACUGAAAACAGUUUCGUUUAUCCUAAGGAAAAUAUUUAUCAUUAUUAUUAUUCACGUAAGACUUCCUUAAUGUUUUU
ensembl:lncRNA